rnacentral:rRNA from 1 species
UACGUAGGGGGCAAGCGUUAUCCGGAUUUACUGGGUGUAAAGGGAGCGUAGACGGCUGAGCAAGUCUGAAGUGAAAGGCGGGGGCCCAACCCCCGGACUGCUUUGGAAACUGUAUAGCUAGAGUGCAGGAGAGGUAAGUGGAAUUCCUAGUGUAGCGGUGAAAUGCGUAGAUAUUAGGAGGAACACCAGUGGCGAAGGCGGCUUACCAAGCUACUUCUGACGUUGAGGCACGAAAGCGUGGGGAGCAAACAGG